UAAUAAUUUAAAAUAGAACAAUUGAUAACACUUUUUUUUAAAUAACUAUUAUUUAUUUAUAUGUGAACAAAUAUACAAUAUUUUUUAAAAUGUUAUUUAUGGUGAUUUCUUUUCAUUUUAAAUUUUUUUAAAAAUUUUGAUUAUUGAAUUUGCAAGGAUUUCGAGAUGCAUCAGUUUCACGUUUUUCUUCUACGCGCUUUACUUAACCACAAAUCUUGCUUCACCCCAAAUAUCUUCUUCAGCUACGCCCCAAAUCUCUUCUUCAACUUCGCCCCAAAUCCCUUCUUCUUUAAAUCUCCCCCAUCGGCGUUCUCCAUUGGUUUCUAACAUUCUCCAUUGUGUUUCCAAUGUUCAUCGCGGUAUGUUUCUUCUCUUUUUUCAUUUUUCAGCACAACAUCAUUUUU
rnacentral:lncRNA from 1 species